rnacentral:lncRNA from 1 species
GGUGUGACUUCUUGAGGAAGGGGUCAGGUAAGUCCGUCCCGCGUAAGGCGACGCAGCCGGGCAGGCGGACGGGGUCGGGGAGGUCUUCGAAGUCGACGUCGAUGGUCUCGUCGAGCCGGGGCAGGUGCAGCCCGAGGGUGAGCAUCGUAAGGCUGGGAGCGAAAAAUAUGUAGCCCGGCACGCCGAGCUCCCGCACCAGCGGCAGCGUAUUGGAUCCGAAAAGGUCGCAGACGAAGGCGGCGGCGGGGUUUUGGAAGGAGAGGAAGGCGUCCCGGAGGACGGGGAGGCAUCGGUCGAGGAGGGCGCAGAGGUGGACGUCGACCGGGGAGUCGGGGGGGAGGUCGGAGAGGGAGAUGGAGGGGAGGGAGACGGAGGUGACGGAGUCGGAGGGGAGGGAGGCAAGCAAGGCGGCGUGCGCAGGGGAGUCGAAGUUGGAGAAGGUGAGGAGGGUGACGGAGAAGCCGUGGGCGGCGGCGAGGCGGACGGCGAAGUCCGCCAGCGGGAUCACGUGGCCCAUCCCCGGCGAUGAGAGCAGGACCACGUGAGGCCGCCGCUGGCUCUCAUUUCCUUCGACAGCCAUAUGAUUAAUAUGGUAAUAUUUGAGUAGACUGCCGUACGGUGCAGAACAGAGAUAUGUUUGGAGCUCUCUGCUGUCAGAUUAUAUAAGGUUGAGUUGUGUUGAUUUUGCCGGAAGCUCCGCAUAGUUAAGGAAGGGCAAAACAGUGUGGGCGAUGUUCUCGGCUCAGUCGUCUUUGGCUCCAUGUGUUGCGGACGUGUUUGGUGACGUCAUUUCUUUCCAAUUUAAUAAUACAUAAAUAGAAUAAUAAUUUUUUUUUUUUUUUUUUGACUAUCUAUAGCAUUUUAGAAAGCAAUAUGUUACAUAAGUCAACAAGUAACAAACACAGUAGAUCAACUUGAUCAACUUAUUAUUAUUAUGUAUAAUGUAUAAUAAUUAAUAGAUGCUAACCUAAUUAUUUAGGUAAGAUGCAUCUUAUAAUAUAUAUAUUAAGCUUAUUUCCUCUUUUUGUGGUUGGUUAAUUACCUUAUAUUCCAACAAUUACUUUUCUCCUCCCAUUUUGCUCAUGUUUUAUAUUGGGGUCUAAAAAAGAUUCUAGGAGUUAUAUUAAUAUAUAUUAUAUAUUAUAUAUAGUAUAGUACGGUAUUAGAUGAACUUGAUCCAAUCACUACUUUUUUUUAAAAAAAACUUAUUCAAAGUUACUUUAAAAGAAAAAAAUGUAUUUCUCCCAUCAAUUAUUAAUGUGUUAGGUGGAAGAUCUGCUAUAUUGCUGAUAAUUAGAAAUUAUUACAUAAGCAUCUGACUAGAAUCUAUAAUUAUUUGCAAAUUUUUAUUACUGCUAUAAAUUGGUUUUUGUAGUCUUGUUUAUAGUACACAAAAAGGAAAAAAAAAUAUAUAUUUAUUUUGAUAAAAGGAAACUAAAAUACGGCGUGCAUAAAAGUUUAGAUAAAACUUUGAUUUGUUUGAGGAAAAUAAUUAAUAAACGUAAUGGAGAAUUACAGUAAAAGUUUUGUUUCUGUAUUCAGCUGUAUUUAUCUUUGAUAAAUUUCUAAAUUUUUGUGCAUGCACGUACAAAAAUAAAUAAAUAUUCUAGUUUGAUAUUUUAUUUUGAAUAAUUAGAAAAAAAAUAUUAAGAAAGGUUAAAAGAAUAUGUAUGUUGUAAUAAGAGCAAUUCUAACGCUACACUCCAAUUAAAUGAGACGGUAAUUUUACAAUCCCAUCAUUCAAGGGUCAAAAUUUUUCACCGGUUUUGUUAAUUCUUUUUUUCAAUAUUAAAAUUUAACAAUAUUUUUUGAACUCCAAAAAAUAAAGAUCGGGAACUCAUUAUGUACGUCUAGAGUUGAAAUUUUUUUAAAAAACUAAUUACACAAAUUAACCCAAAUUUAUUUUUCAUUUUGCUCUCAAACUUUUAUAUUUCUUCAAUUAAAAAUUUAAUAUAUAUUAUUUAUUUUAAUUAAGUCCCACAAUCAAAAAAAUUUAAUAAUUUUCAUAAAAUUUGUUGCAAUCUUCAAAGAAGGCGGCGGUCUUUUAAAAACUUAAGUUUCUAAAUAAAUAUAUUCAUAAGAAUAAUUUAUUAGUACAUCUGUCAAAUUAAUAGAGCUUAAAAUUUAAGAUAUUAGAGAACAGAGACUUUUUCUUUUACUUGUGCAGUGACGGCAUGAGUAGAGUGUAGACGGAUCGGACUUCUGAUGGAAUGGGUCAAGGAAGUCCGUCCCGCAUACGGCGACGCAGUUUUUUUUUACUUGUGCAGUUUUUUUUAAUUUGCGUUUCUUAUGGUUUAGCAUAUUUUUAAUUUGGUAUUCUAUGAUUUGAAAUGUCUCAUUUACUGUCAUAUAGUUUUACGUUUAUUUCACCGUUAAAAUAUGUCGUGAAGUAGAUACUAAAUUGAUAAAAUUUAUCAACUACAAUAUAAUAACUUAAUAUAUUUUACAAACCACGGUAACAUAAGAUUAGUCUUUUAUAUAUAGAGCAGUGAGAUUAUCUUCAUAAGUACGCGAGAAAAAAAUUCUGUUAAAAAAAUUAUUAGGGAGGUAAGCUUAUCUUUUAUUUAAAACUACUGUCUUCAACCGGUACAGUUAUAACUGCGUACGGCCAAUUUGAGUAUGGUUUUAAUGCUAUAAUUGAGUCUCUUUAUGCAGUUCCAACUACAGCACUCAAAUAUAAAUUAAUAUACCAAACUAGACAUCAAAUUCAUAUUGACAGACAGUUACAAUUGCAAUACAAAUGCAACAAGUGCAAUCAAACAACUCCUAAAUGUGAAGAAUAUUAGCUCUUUAUAAAAAAGGAAUCAUAUUAUAAAAGUUAUUUUGAUGCAAAUAAGUUAAGUCAACUAAAUUAGAUUAAAUUCAGCUGGUAAAUGAGGACUAAAUUUAAUAGAUAUAUAGAUGUCAAAGUAAAAUUAAUAUUUUAUUAUAUGUUAAUAAUAUUAUUUACACACCACAGAUAGAAGUGGUUGUCCAUAGCUGGUCGGUCACCAGUUGGUGCUGAACUGCACUACAUGAAAUAUAUUUUCUAUGAAUUAACAACUACAACCCUUGAGGAAAAAGAGUACAAGUGCAAAAUUAUAAAAAAAAAAACUUAAUAUUUAUUGAGGAUCUGUUUAUUAUUUUUAAAAAAAUGUAGAAGAGACAAAUGAUGCAAUCCUCAGCAAUCCGAGCAAGUGGUCAAACAGGCGAUUUUGGUGGGACACGACAUCUAUUCAGUUGACCGAAUCAAUAUGAUGAACUUCUAGAAACAGCAUAAAACAACUAAUUUUUAAAUUUAGAGGUCAUUGAGUAUCACCUAUUAAAUAAUUGGUGUAAAUUACAAUCUACAUUAAUUUAGUUGAUUAAAUACCGACGUAUCAUUAAUAUAAAAUUAAUAUAGUAAUUUUGUAAUUGUUAAUGCGCUAAAAAUUAUAAUAUUAUAUCACUUUUAUUUUAAUAGUAUAUCAAUAUUUAGCCAGAUAAAUUCAGGUGCUGGACUUUGCUACUUGGUUCGUACUUAAUCCCAUACGAUUUGUUAGCUCUUUUUUUUUUGGAAUGUUACCUCUUCUCCUCUUUUGAUGUUGACUAUUAUCAAUUUGGCUUAAAUUAGCAUGCCAUUAUGUUAAGAGAAUCUUAUUGAAGAAACAAUGGUCACAUAUGAUGCAAAAAUAGUCAAAACAAAAAAGCUUUUUAUAUUCUUGGGAAAUUACUUAUAUAAUAUUAGAAUCACCAUCCAAAAAGAAAAGAAAAACUAACCACACAUUUUCCUAGUCUAAGUGGCUCGACAUUUUCAAAAAGAGUUUCCAAACUUAUUUAUUUUAUAAAAAUAAUUAUGUGUAUUAAGUUGAUCUGAAAAACAAACUAUUCAUUGGGUUUACUAACAUUCAUGCGAAAUUAAUAUAAAUGACACGCGAAAUUAACAUGUAGUACGAUGCAUACUAAACAAACUAUUAAUAUAAAUGACACGCGAAAUUAACAGGCAGUACGAUGUAUACUAUGAAAAAAAUUAAUUCGACGGAAAAUUAUAAUUGAUAGAAAUGAUUAUUCACAAAAAUAUAGAUAUGGUACUUCGUGUACUUUUACGCAGCACGAGAAAAUAAAUAGAUAAACCUAAGUAAUAGAUAAACCUAGUUAUCCAAAAGCCGACCAAGAGGCAGGGAAGUUGCAGUCCUCUAUAUAAACUUUAAAUUUGGGACUCAGUAUACGCUUGUAUGGGUUUAUUGUAUAACGGCGUGUUUGGUAAAAUCGAUCUACACUUCAGUAAAGUCACGAGUUCCGUCCGUAUGGCAGAGCUCGGCUUUGAGUUCGCACGGUGUGCGAACUUGUGUUUUUGUGAGAUGAAUUUGCACGUGCAGGCGGUAUAGGGCCCAUGGAAGGGUGUAGGCCCCAUGGAAGUCAAGCUCCGCCAUUUCGUCCGUGGGCCAAUUUGUGGUUUUGUGAGACGAAUUCACACGCGCAGGCGGUGUAGGCCCCAUGGAAGUCGAGCUCUACCGUUUCGUCCAAACAUCGGCGAAUUCCUAUUACGAGAACUAUGCCACUUCGACCUCGAAUUCGAUCAAAACAAAUACGCUCUAAGUUGUUUUUUUCUUUUUGAGAGAGAGAAAGAUUGCAUGCUAUCCGUUUCGUUUAUUUCUCUUAAAAUAAAAAAUAAGCAUAGCUGAAAAUGUGAAAUAAUUAGAUUUCCAACUUAGAACCUCGAGUAUCUACUACUAAAUCUUUUGCCACUUGCACUAUGGAGGUCGGUACACUCUAAGUUGUUGAAAGGGUUGUUUGUGCCACUCAGAGACACACAAAAAAAAAGGAUUAAGGGAUAGUUUCAGUCGGGCCGGACUUUCAAGAGCGACACCCGAACCCGGCUAGUUUAUUUUUCGAGCUGGGCUUUGGGCUGGGCUGAGCCUCCAACAAACUCGCUCAAGCCCACCCGCUAAGCUCCGAACUCGGACUUUCUUUUCUUGUUCUUUCCAAAAAAAAAAAAGAGGAGCCCAUCUACUUAUCCUAUAAGGAAUCAAAUUUGAUUUUAACUCAAUUGAACUAUACUUAGCGUAUACGAGUUUGUAUGUAGGGACAAUUAAUUUCUGACAAAGUUAGAUUACAAUUUAAACUCACAAAAUAAAAUCAUAAUACUGUAUUUAAUGAUGCAAAGCCACUGGUGAUAUUUUUUCCCUUGUUUUGUCCAUUCAGAAGAUUCUUGUACUCUUCAAUUUUGGCCUUUUCCUAUCUUAUCUUAUCUUAUCAAUACCAAUACAUUAAAGGGAUCGACCAUUUCUAGCACAAGUGGUAAAGAGUUUAGUAGCUGGUAUCCGAGCUUCCAAGUUCGAAUCCUAGUUGAUUCAUAUUUACAGCUUUGCCUAUCAUACAUGAAAGGAGAAUCCAAAAAAAAAAUAUCAUUAAAGCGCGUAUUUUUUAUUUUUGCCUACAUCAUGUGUAAAUUUUAUCGUAUGAACCAACCAUCUUUUUUAAUAGUCGAUAUAACAAAAGUAAAAUUUCAUACGGUAUAAAAAAAAUUAUACACUGAGUGUAUAAGACAUGUUCAUAUACAACAAGUGUAAAAUUUUAGCGCACGAGCCAACUCUAUUUUUUAAUAAUCUCCUCAAGGAAAGAGGUGGGGCCCACUUUUUUUUUUUCUCUCUCUCUUACUCUCUCUCUCACACCCUACACCCUUUUUUUUUCUUUUUUUCUUUUUUUUUUCACACCUUUUCUUAAUAGUCAAUAUUAUACGGCAGCCACCUCAAAUAAAGAGGUGGGGCUAACUCCACUUUUUUUCUCUCUCUCUCACUCUCUCCCACGCACACUACCUUUUUUUUUUUUUUUUUUUNNUUUUUUUUUUUUUUUUUUUUUUGCCUUCGCCGACUGUUAAAAAAAUUGUACACCAAGUAUAUAAAACAUGCACAUCUAUUGUAUAAAAUAAAGUUUAGCUUUCUAUCUAUCUAUAUCCAUACACCCUACACCCUACACCCCUACAAUCCUAUUUUUUAAUACUCGGUAUAACAAAAUUAAAAUUUCAUGCGGUGUAAAAAAGUUGUACACUGAAUGUACAAGAUAUGCUCAUAUAUACGUCUUUGACAGUAUCAAAGAGAACCUAUAUAUUUUGGGUUAAAAUUUAUUUAUAUGUAUAAAAAUGCAUGUAUCGGAUUAAAACACACGCAAUAAAUGAAAUAAUUAGGAAAUAUAAUCUGAUCGAAUACUUUGUCAUAAUAAAAGUAGAUUAUACAUGCAUGAAAAUUGUGUGUAUUCAGUAGUUCGUACAAGAAAACAAAGGAGGACCCUCAUAUUUCUAGCAAAAAUACUCUAUUUUUUAAUAGUCGAUAUAAAAAAUUAAAAUUUCAUACGGUAUAAAAGAAAUUGUACAUAAAGUGUAUAAAAUAUGCUUAUAUACAAUAUAUAAUUUGAAUUCUUUUUUAUUUUUGCCUACACGAAGUGUAAAAUUUUACCGCAUGAACCAACCUUAUUUUUUAAUAGUUUCCUCAAGCAAAGAGGUGGGGCCCACUUUUUUUUUUUUUUCUCUCUCUCUCUCUCCCUACACCCCUUAUUUUAUUUUAUUUUUUCUCUCAACACCUUUUUUUUUUUUUUCCUACACCAAGUGUAAAAAUAGGAUUGGCCCAUGCGCUAAACUUUUACACUUGGUGUAGACAAAAAUAACAAAGAAUUCAAAUUAUAAAUUAUAUAUGAGCAUGUCUUAUACACUCAGUGUACAACUUUUUUUACACCGUAUGAAAUUUUAAUUUUGUUAGGUGUUGAGCGAAAAAAAAAUAAAAAAAGGGGCGUAGGGAGAGAGAGAGAGAGAAGUCUAUUUUUAAUAGUUAAUAUAAUAAAAUUAAAAUUUCAAUCUAAUAAGUAUAAUCUAUAAUAUAUUAAAAAUCUAGAUACGAAGAUUAAUAGAUUUAUACCUCUAUAAUAAAACUUCAUAAAUAUUGUGUAAAAAAAAUUAUACAUUCUGUGUAUAAGUAAUUCUUACAUAUUCUUCAAUUUGACUUUAACUUAAUAUAAACUAGUGAAGGACCCGCGCUUGCGGCGGAAUGAUUUCGUAGAAAUAAAUAUAUAAAUAAAAUUAAUAAUAGUAAAAAAAAAGAGUCAAAAAAUUAAAUAAAAAAAUAACUAAAAAAUAAACAACUAUUGCUCUAAUAAAAAUAUAAAAAUAAAUUAUAAGAAAGAUUAAAAAAAAUAAAGGCAAAAAUCAUACUAAUAAGAAAUUAUAUAUAAUUAUAUUUAUAAUUAUAUAUAUUAUAAUUAUUAUUAUAAUUAUAUAUAAUUUUUAGAAAAAAUAAUUUAUUGUUCUUAUAUUUUUGCCUCUAUUCUUCUUUUAUCUAUCUUAUCCUUUAAUUUUUAUUUUUUUUUAACUUUUUUAAUGUUUCAUUUUUAAAUUUUCUUUCUUCUUUUUUAUAUAUUUUUAAUAAUUUUUUUANUGCGCCAGCCUGCCCGCGCCCCACCACGCGUGCCCGCCUCUCCCUCUCCUCUUCCCGCGCCACGCGGCGCCCCGCCCCGCGCGCCUGCUCGCCGGUAGCACGCUGCGCCCCGCCCCGCGCGCCCGCCUGCCCGCGCCCCGCGUGCCCGCGCCACGCGGCGCCCCGCCACACGCGCUUGCCUACCCGCGCCCCAUGCUCGUGCUCGCCGCCGCCCGAGCCUCCGCUCGCCGCCACCUGUCCCAAAACUAAAGAUUCAUAUAUACUAUAGAUAAUAAAGUUUAGUUUCGAGUUCUCCUUUCUUGGAGCAUUGGCGGGGCCCACCCAGUUUCUCCACUCCCCUCUCUCUCCCAUUACUUUUUCCUUUCUAUUUUUUGUCUGCAUCACGUCUAAAAAUUCUUCCAUGAACAAAAAGAAUAAUUUUUUAAUAAUUUAUAUGAUAAACUAAAAUCUAAUCUAAUAACUGCAAUCUAUAAUAUAUAAAAUAUCUAAAUACAAAAUUACUGAAUUUUUACUUUAAUAAUAAAAUUUCAUAAAUACAAUGUAAAAAAAUAGUUAUAUAUCUGAUUGAUUUAUUUUUUAUAAAUAGACAGUUGUUGUGAAUCUUUUAUUUUUUGUAGUACGCUAAUUUGUGUUCUUUUAUUAUUUUAAUUAGGUAAUACUUUAUAGGUCCUAAUUAAAUCAUUAUCCUCAUCCAAUUUUUUAAUUUAUUAAAAUUUAAUAAAAUUAUUAAUUUUUAGAUAUUUAGAUGUCAAAUAUAUAUUCAUAUAAAAAGUAUACAAGUGGUAAUUUUCUUUCAGAGGAAACAAGUGGUUCAUCCGUCCCAAUCCAUGACGUUCAUAAUGUUACCAACAGGGUGGAAAAAAUCAAACUACUUUAUGGUAAUAUGUAAUAUUUGGCUUUAUUUUUUUAGAAAUAAAUUUAGCUGAAAAUAUGAUUCGAAAUUUAGACUUCGGGUAUUAAUUAACCACCAAAUCCUUUACAACUUGCAGUAGGAACGGUAAGUAAUAUUAGAAUAAAAAAUGGGCUAGUAUUUGAUUUAGUAAUUUAAAUUUAACAUCUUUUAGAUUCUUAUACUUAAAGUAAAAUUAAAAUAUUAUUAAUAGCAAAAGAAAAGUAUUUGCUACCUAUAUCAUAGUUUUUUAAUGCAUAGAGUUAAUUAUUUGGCGUGAUAUGUGCUAUUAUAAAUUGAAUGACUACAAAGUUAACAUUAAAUACUUUUAUUUACUAUCAAUAGUAUUAUAGAUGUACUCUUUUAUGCAUAUAAUUAACAAAAAGAAAAAUUAAUUACACCAUUUGGCCCAAACAUUUGUUCUUAUUUUGAUUUUAGACUUAAGAUUUUCUCAGUUAAAUUCUUAAACUAUAUUAUUUGUUUUGAUUAAGUCCCACUCAUCAAAAAGUUUAAUAAUUUUGAUAAAAUUUGUAGUAAAUAUAAUUUUAAAAUAAUAUGCAAUUCGCAUCAAAUUUUAGUACAAGAUUUUUAUUGAAGGACCCAAGAAACGCUUGGUUACAAAAUAUUUUACAAAGUCGAGAGUCACAAUAGAAAUCUCACGAUAGAGAACAAUAGAAAGACACAACACCGUAGAUUAUUAAUGCUGGUUUAUUAGUAAUAUGUUAUAAGACGUGUUUCAAUCACUCGCUACGUGCUGGCUUGCUCCCUCCUUCCACUUAUUGGCAACUCCCUGCAGCACCUUGUACGAGGACCCGCCCGGCGGCGCGAGUGCCCGCGACGCCGCCUCCUGCAGCUCCUUGGCGCGACGGCGCAGCGCCUUGCCCUUCUCCCCCUGCAUCAAUUCCUUCGCCGCCGCCGCGAUCUCCUCCCUGCCGACGAUGCCGUAGGGCUCUCUGGCCCGCGGCCUGAUGGUGAUUCCGACCGCCUCGGCGAGCAGCACGGCAUUCAAGCGCUGCUCAGCGUAGAGCGGGUGCGCGAUCAUCGGCACGCCAUGCACAGUGCUCUCCAGCGUCGAGUUCCACCCGCAGUGCGAGAAGAAGCCGCCGGUCGCGGCGUGGGCCAGCACACUGACCUGCGGCGCCCACGACAGCACCACAAAGCCCACGUCCUUUGUCCGUUCCAAGAAGCCCUCGGGAAGGUACUUCGACGGAUCGUCCUUGUUUCCUAACAUCAUUUAUAAAUAAAUUCAUUACACUAGUCUUGACCUACUCGAUCACAUGUAGUCUUUAUUAUUAAAUUUUUUAAUAUUCAUUUCUAAUAGUUAAAAAAUUAUUAUGACAAUAAAAUUUUUUAAUUUUAAACAGCAAAAAUCGAUAUAUCAAGUCUAACUAACAAUUGAGUUCUGCAACCAACUUUGGUCCACCACAGAAAUAACUUACAUGCUAAUUAAAUUGGAGUACGACAAAUUGUAAAAACUCUAUACUAAUAAAUCAAAACUGUAUAUAUUAUAAUGCCAGCACAUCAUCAAAUUUUAUAGCAAUAGUUUAGUACCUGUUGUGAUGAAAGCGGUGUUCUUUUCUUUGUCAUUGGGACACCUGACAACCCAAAGGAAGCGCUGCCCGCUGGCCUCCAGCCCAAGUGCCAUCUCCUGCAUCUGCUCCGUCGAGAGGGAGCCGCCACUUCCGAAAGACACGAAUAAAACCGAGUCGGCUGGCUGCCGGUCCAGCCACUCCAGGCAGCCCGACUCGUCCGUCUCGUCCGAACCGGACCGGACCAUCGGACCCACCAGGUGGACCGGCGGCCUCCCUGCUUCCACUUGCUCCUCCUCUCUGAUGGCUUUCAGCACCUCUGGCUCCAUCUCCUCAAAGCUGUUCACCAGAAUUCCGGCUGCGUCGCUGUACCUGCAAAACCACUCAUUACUUCGAUAAUUCAAUUGUAUUCGAACUCAGAAUCCAUUAUUUUAUUUAAAAUUAUGAAUUAUUCUAGAAACUUACGUUACUAGAGAACGGUGUUUCUUACUUGCUCAUGAUCCGGAUGAACGGAGCGUACAUGGGGUGUGACUUCUUGCGGAAGGGGUCGGGAAAGUCCGUCCCGCGUAAGGUGACGCAGCCGGGCAGGCGGACGGGGUCGGGGAGGUCUUCGAAGUCGACGUCGAUGGUCUCGUCGAGCCGGGGCAGGUGCAGCCCGAGGGUGAGCCUCGUAAGGUUGGAAGUGAAAAAUAUGUAGCCCGGCACGCCGAGCUCCCUCACCAGCGACAGCGUCUCGGAUCCGAAAAGGUCACAGACGAAGGCGGCGGCGGGGUUUUGGAAGGAGAGGAAGGCGUCGCGAAGGAGGGGGAGGCAUCGGGCGAGGAGGACGCAGAGAUGGACUCCGAUCGGGGAGUCGGGGGGGAGGUCGGAGAGGGAGAUGUAGGGGAGGGAGACGGAGGAGACGGAGUCGGAGGGGAGGGAGGAAAGCAAGGCGGCCUGCGCGGGGGAGUCGAAGUUGGAGAAGGUGAGGAGGGUGGCGGAGAAGCCGUGGUAGGCGGCAAGCCGGACGGCGAAGUCCGCAAGUGGGAUCACGUGGCCCAUUCCCGGCGACGGGAGCAGGACCACGUGAGGCCGCUGGCUCUCAUUCCCCUCGACAGCCAUACGAUUAAUGUGGUAAUAUUUGUGUGACUGUCGUACAGUGCAGAACAGAGAUACGUUUGGAGCUCUCUGCUGUCAGACUAUAUAAGUUUGAGUUGUGUUGUGUUUGUAUUGUGGGCUGAAGAUGUUGCAGGAACCUUCUCAAUUUAAUAAUACAUAAAUAGAAUAAUAAAUUUUAUUUUUUUGACUAUUUAUUGCAUCUUAGAAAGCAAUAUGUUACAUAAGUCAAAAAGUAACAGACAUGGUAGAUCAACUUGAUCAAAUUAUUAUUAUUAUGUACAAAAAUUAAAAGAUGCUAACCUAAUUUGUUAGGUAAGAUGAAUCUUAUAAUAAUAUAAAAUUAAGCUUACUUCCUAAAAUAAAAUGUAAUUUGUAUGUGCAUAAUUACUAACGAGCAGUGCGUACAUCUUUUUAAUAUGUUGGUACAUCAAAAUAUUUCUCAUUCUAUGAACUUCUUUUCAACCAGUAUUAUUAAAAUACUUUCCUGAACUUUUUUUUGUUUUGAGAAAGAGAUAGACAAGUUACCUGCUUCAUUCAUUGAGAGAUGUACUAAACGUACAGUAUAGAAACAGUUAAGAGUUCCGAGGCAAGCCGAACAGGAAAAAACAGAAAUCGGAAAAGACAAAAAACAAAUGAAGGUAAAAAGGAUAAAAAAGAUGUUGCAUGUAGGGUGAUUACAGAGUUUCAGCCCAGGACUUCGUUAGUAGAACAAUGCGCUCGAGAGCAUGUGUGGCGUUGGGGGUCUUCGAGCGAAAAAAUAAGAUUGUUCCUUUCCAUCCAGACAACACACCAAGUAGCCGUCAUGGAGGAUAGGGCCUUUAAUUUUUGCUUCGUUAGUAGAACAGUGCCCUCCUAAACUUUUAAUUUCAGUUGCUAAAUCAACCAAUUUUAUUAAUCCUCUUCCUCAAAUAAAAUUAUUAAUUAAAUAAUGAUGCUAAUUGAUAAAUUAGCCUCAAAUUGCUAUAAUUACUUUACUUUUGUACCUACGCUUUGGGAACAAAUAAUAUCUUUAUUUAUGUAUACAAUUGAUGUUUACCUUAUUUAUCUAUAGACACAUCAACAAUAUCAACAAAAUAUAUAUAUAUAUAUAUAUAUAUAGAGAGAGAGAGAGAGAGAGAGAGAGAGAGAGAGAGAGAGAGAGAGUUGGACUGGGCUAGCAAAAUUCUAUUGUUGCUACCAGUUUUUUAGCCUUUGGAUUAACUCUUUUCAUUAUUUCCAACUAUUAGAUUAAAUACUAUAACCCAGUGGGGACCACUCAACCCUAAGGAGACCGUUCAACUCUAAUCGACUAAUAUCAUCUCGAUCCUACAAUUUUUCAUCCAACCGUUAAAACUUGAUAGCAAAAAUAACGUUUUACUAUUAAUAGUAUUCCAGCCUAAUUAUAUAUAUAUAUAUAUAUAUAUUAGGCAUUCAAAAUAUUUUUCUAAAAAAAUAUUAGAAAAGAUGGAUUAAAUACCUUACAUCCGAUUUAGAUUUAUGACCUUCUAUCAUAAUAUGGUGGGCAUACAUGUUACUAAUUAAUUAGUAAUUACUCUGCCGAAUACAUUUUGAUCCUGUUCCAACUUUGUUUUGUAUCUUUCCUCAUUUUGUAGUUGAUUAAUUACCUUAUAUUCCAAUAAUUACUUUUCUCCUCCCAUUUUGCUCAUGUUUUAUGUUGGGGUCUAAAAAAGAUUCUACGUGUUAUAUUAAUAUAUAUUAUUGUUGGAAAUAAUAAUCCAAACUUAAUAAAAAUAUAGUUAUAGAUAAGUUUAAGUCUUUAUUUGAUUAUAAUUAAGAGUUGUAGUUAUCCAAAGUAAAAUUGGAUUUAUCAUCUGUUAUGAUUUGAUGGCUAUAUAUAGUUUUUUUUUUUUUUAAGAGAUAGGUAGCACGCUACCCUCGUUUAUUUCAUUUAGAAAUAACUUAGCUGGAAAUGUGAAUCAACUAGGAUUCGAACUUGGGUUUCGGGUACUAACCACCAAGCCCUUUGCCACUUGCUCUAGGGACGGUCGAUGAUGGCUAUAUAUAGUUACGCAUAGGUUAAUUAGAUGAAUAAGUCACAGUAGACAUGGCUGCAUAGGAUGUAAUUAAUUACUUUUUAUUAAUAAAGCAUUAGUUUAGUUAUCUUCUUCCUCCUUCAAUAUUUCUUCUCUAUAUUAUUUGUUCUAUUUCAGAUUUUGGAUUAUAUAAUCGGUAUCUGGACAAGUAUCGAUCCCAACAAUUGGUAUCAGAGUAAAUCAUGCCUCCAAUAAGUGGUAUCAGAGCCAAAAGGUACCAUGCGACUUACAAACCAGAUGACAGCAUAUUCGAAAAGAAUAUAGGUUCAAUGUACCGGAUAGCUACGUCAAAGAUAAGUGACUCAUAGUUGAUCGAAGAAGGUGACGUUCAGGAAAAACCAAAGUGAAGGAAUCGCUUUGAAAAAGUUGGCCUUUGCCCAAACGACAGCAGAUGAUUGUGACGUUUGACGAAAAGAGAGCGAGGAAAGCCCCUGAAGAGAUCUAAGAAGACUUGACCAGAUAGCCAGAAGGGCUAGACAAGCUAUCCGAAAUACAGAAAAUUCUGUGAGAUAUCAAUGAACUAAGAAUGUUAUCCAAACAGAAAGGUACAAAUCUAAACUUAUUUUUCAGAUUUUCAAGUUUCGUUAUAGAUUUAGAUAAUUGGUUUAUUCAACCGAAUCUACCAAAGUUCGAUGGAACAAACUUUAAACGAUAGAAAAUCAUCAUUCGAUAUUUUUUAGAAUCCCAAGAUUUAUGAAACGUAGUGGAGAAUAGAAAUUAUGAAAAAGAUUUUGGUAAAAAAGAAUUUUAAAAAAGAGAUCGAGAAGUUCUAUUAUAUAUUUUUCAAACUGUUAAUCUAUCGUUGGUUGAAAAAAUUCCAACGAUAAAGACGGCAUUGCAGGAAGAGAAUGAAAUUUAAGAAGAAGAAAAAAUUCAACUCAAUGGUGAAGUUAUAGGAACCCAAUUUGCAAAGAAAUUUUGAAAGAAAAGUUUGAUCCAAAUCAUAAAAAAGAUCAAAUCCGUAAAAAGUAUGUUGAUGAUCAAAACGGUACAACGUAGGCUGACGAGAAAAUUCACAAUGAUAAUAUAAUUGAAAAAAUUUCUGUCGAUAAAAUAAUUACACAUCAAAUCAAAGAAGUUGAUUCUUUUUAUAACGUGAAUGAAGAAAAAAAAAUAGCAACGCAAAUAUAAAAUUAAAAGUACAGAUUUUUGGUACGAUGCAAGACGCAAACAUUGAAACCAGAGAACCAAAAAUAUCAAAUUCAUAUAUUUGCAGGAACUCGCAAAUCUUUAAGGAUGAUGUGAAUAAUCAGUAUUACAGCUAGCAAAAAUUUCGUGCAUGGCAACAUCAUAGGACAGGCGUCAUGCUGCACAACUUGAACACGACGAUAACAACAGCGACAGAGAUUGCAAAAUCAAAAUGCGCGUUUCACGGAGUUCGUGAUUCGAAGAUGAAGUUUGGAUUAAGGAAAGAUGUUGGAAAUAAUAAUCCAAACUUAAUUAAAAUAUAGUUAUAGAUAAGUUUAAGUCUUUUAUUUGAUUAUGAUUAAGAUUUGUUGUUAUCCAUAGUAAAAUUGGAUUUAUCAUCUGUUAUGAUUUGAUGGCUAUAUAUAAUUACGUAUGGUUAAUUAGAUGAAUAAGUCACAGUAGACAUAACUGCAUAGGAUGUAAUUAAUUGGUUUUUAUUAAUAAAGUAUUAUUUUAUUUUAUUCCUCCUUCAAUAUCUCUUCUCUGUAUUAUUUGUUCUAUUUUAGAUUUGGGCCUAUAUAGUCGGUAUCAAAACAAGUACCGAUCCCAACAAUUGGUAUCCGAGCAAAUCACGCCUCCAACAAUUAUAGUAUAGUAUAAGGUAUUAAAUGAACUUGAUCCAAUCACUAAUUUUUAAAAAAAAAAUAUUCAAAGUUACUUAAAAAAAAAUUAUUUCUCCCAUCAAUUAUUAAUUAAUGUGUUAGGUGGAAGAUCUGCUAUAUUGCUGAUAAUUAGAAAUUAUUACUUAAGCAUCUGACUAGAAUCUACAAUUAUUUGUAAAUUUUGGUUAGUGCUGUAAAUUGGUUUUUGUAGUCUUGUUUACAAUACAAAAAAGGAAAAAAAAAAAAAUUAUUUAUUUUGAUACGAGGAAACUAAAAUAUAAUAUGCAUAAAAGUUUAGAUAAAACUUUGAUUUGUUUGAGGAAAAUAAUUAAUAAACGUAAUGGAGAGUUACGGUAUAAGUACUGUUCCCAAUUUGAUCUACUUCUAUUUCUGUAUUCAGCUAUAUUUAUUUUUGAUAAAUUUCUUAAUUUUUGUGCACGUAUAGAAAUAAAUGAAUAUUCUAAUUUUAUAUUUUGUUUUGAAUAAUUAGAAAAAAAAUUAAAAGGUUUUAAAAGAAUAUGUUAUCAAACAGUAAUGCAUGUUAUAACCAGAGAAACGCUAACGCUACACUCCAAAUGAGAUGGUAAUUUUAGCCCAAAUAUCUAUUUUUUUUAUUUUGAUUUCAAACUUUUAGAUUUCUUCAAUUGAACUUUUUAGAUAUAUUAUUUAUUUCGAUUAAGUCCCACAAUCAAAAGGUUUAAUAAUUUUCAUAAAAUUUGUAGCAAAUUAAUAUGAUUUAGAAAUGAUGCGGUAAUUUUCAUCUUUAAAUACAAAAAAUCUUACUAGAUUGAAAAAAAAAAGGAUAAAUUAUUAAUAUUUUUAAUUAUUAAUACUCAAUUAUUAAUAAUAUUUCAUAAGACGUGUUUCAAGUACUUGCUACGCGCCGGCUCGCCCCCUCCUUCCACUUAUUGGCAACUCCCUGCAGCGCCUUGUAUGAGGACCCCUCCGGCGGCGCGAGCGCCCGCGCUGCCGCCUCCUGCAGCUCCUUGGCGCGACGGUGCAGCGCCUUGCCCUUCUCCCCCUGCAUCAAUUCCUUCGCCGCCGCCGCGAUCUCCUCCCUGCCGACGACGCCGUAGGGCUCCCUCGCCUGCGGCUGGAUGGCGAUUCCGACCGCCUCGGCGAGCAGGAUGGCAUUCGUGUACUGCUCGGCGUAGAGCGGGUGCGCGAUCAUCGGCACGCCGUGCACGGCGCUCUCCAGCGUCGAGUUCCAGCCGCAGUGCGAGAAGAAGCCGCCGGUCGCGGCAUGGGCCAGCACCCUGACCUGCGGCGCCCACGACGGCACCACGCGGCCCACGUCCUUGGUCCGUUCCAAGAAGCCGUCCGGAAGGUAGUUCGAAGGGUCAUCCUUGCUUCCUGGCAUCAUUCCUAAAUUCAUUACAUUACAUCAUUAAUCUUUUCUUACUCCAUCAUACGUAGUCUUUAUUGUUAUUACUAUUAUUAUUAUUAUUUUAAAUAAUUAAAAUUUUUAGAAAAUAAAAUUUUCUAUUUUAAUCCGUAAAAAGUGUACUGAACUUUCGAACUGGCUUGGUAGGAAGUACUAGAAACUCCUUAAAUAAUUAUUUGAAUGCUGAUCUGUGAAUGAAAUAACUUACAAAUUAAAUAGAUGUGAUAGGCAUCUAUUUAGGAGGGAUUAUAAAUUAAAAUUCUUUACUAAUAAUUCAAAUUCAAAAACUUAAAUCUUCAGCACAGUGUCUACAAUGUAAAUCAAAGCUAAAAAUUAUACCAAGACCUUAGAAAUUAUACUAUAAUAUCAGCACAUUAUCAACUUUUAGAGCAUGCUUAAAUCACAAUUUGUAUUAGUAUUUGGAUAAUUCUUCAUAUUUUUUUGUUAAAAUAAUUAAAAUUAUUAUCAUUCAAUUCAAGUUAAAUAGUUGUGAGAGGCCCUGCUUGGAUAUUUUUGAAAACGUAGCAUAAUUAAACUAUACUACACUAGCAGAAAAAUUAUCCUGUGAAACAUUUGGAAGAAAAACAAAAUAACGUAAUUUUUGAAGUAUAGUUAAACUAUACUUCAAAAAAUAGAGUAAAAUUGUAAUUCACUCUAACCAAAAAAAAAUAAUUUUACUAUUCUUGGGCUCCCUUACCCUAAAAAUGUAUCAAAUUUUAAUUUUAAAUUUCAACCUAGAUUUUAAAUUUUAAGUUUUAAAUUUUAAAAAUUUAAAUUUAUUUUAAUUUUAAAAUUUUAAAUUUUAAAUUUUAAAUAGAAUUUUAAAUUUUAAAUUCUGAAUUUUUACUUUUAAUUUUAAAUUUUAGAAAAAUUUUAUGAAAUUGCACAAUGUGCAUUCAAAGAAUUUAAAAAUUGAAUUCGUGAAAUCUUUUAGAGUUAUAAAAUGUUCUAUUNAUUAAAUAGAUGUGAUAGACAUCUAUUUAGGAGGGAUUAUAAAUUAAAAUUCUUUACUAAUAAUUCAAAUUCAAAAAGUUAAAUCUUCAGCACAGUGUGUCUACAAUGUAAAUCAAAGCUAAAAAUUAUACCAAGACCUUAGAAAUUAUACUAUAAUAUCAGCACAUUAUCAACUUUUAGAGCAUGCUUAAAUCACAAUUUGUAUUAGUAUUUGGAUAAUUCUUUAUUUUCUUUGUUAAAAUAAUUAAAAUUAUUACCAUUCAAUUCAAGUUAAAUAACUAUGAACGUAGCAUAAUUAAACUAUACUACACUAGCAGAAAAAUUAUCCUGUGAAACGUUUGGAAGAAAAAAAAAAAUAACGUAAUUUUUGAAGUAUAGUUAAACUAUACUUCAAAAAAUAGAGUAAAAUUGUAAUUCACUCUAACCAAAAAAAAAAUAAUUUUACCAUUCUUGGGUUCCCUUACCUCAAAAAUGUAUCAAAUUUUAAUUUUAAAUUUCAACCUAGAUUUUAAAGUUUAAAAUUUUAAAGUUUAAAAUUUUAAAUUUUAAAUAGAAAUUUGAAUUUUAAAUUUUAAAUUCUGAAUUUUUACUUUUAAUUUUAAAUUUUAGAAAAAUUUUAUAAAAUUGCACAAUGUGCAUUCAAAGAAUUUAAAAAUUAAAUUCGUGAAAUCUUUUAGAGUUAUAAAAUUUUUUAUUUUAUUUAGACCAAAACUAUAACUUACAAAUUUUACUAAAUUUGUUUUAUUGUGCAGCCAAACAGUUCCAAAAUAAAAGAAAAGCAAUUAGCUAGGAAUCUUCUGGUACCGGAGGUGAAGAAGGCAGCACUCGUUUCGCUGUCAGUGGGGCACCUGACGACCCAGAGAAAGCGCUGCCCGCUGGCCUCCAGCCCGAGCGCCAUCUCCUGCAGCUGCUCGGUCGAGAUGGUCCCACCACUCCCCAGAGACACAAAUAAAACCGAGCCGGCCGGCUGCCGGUCCAGCCACUCCAGGCAGCCCGACUCGUCCUCCUCGUCUGACCCGGCGGACCGGACCGUCGGACCCACCAGGUGGACCGGCGGCCUCCCUGCUUCCACUUGCUCCUCCUCUAUGAUGGCUUUCACCGCCUCCGGCUCCAUCUCCUCGAAGCUGUUCACCAGAAUCCCGGCCGCCUCGCUGUAUCUGUGCGAAACAACCGUUUACUUUAAAAAAUUAUACUGACCACGUUCCAACUCAGUGUUUACUAUAUUAUUAUUUAAAAUAAUGAGUCCGGCUACUAUGCUAUUAAUAGCACAAAAUACUUGGUGCUACCAAAUUUUCCGCCGUUAGAUCUACCCUUGUAAUCAUUUUCACUCGUUAGAUCAUACUAUUCAACCAACCACUCACUCAAUUCUAUGGAGCCCAUAUCAUCCUAACCACAUCUCUUAAUCUAAUGACUAAAAAUUUAAUAGUACCAGUGACUUAGUGUUAUUCAUAGCACAGUAGCAUAGUUCUAAAAUAAUUAAUAAUUAUUUUAAAAACUUAAGCUACUGGAUAAACAUAUACUUAAUAAAAGGAUAAGGUGUCAGAGAACAGAUUUUUUUUUUUUUUUUUUUAUUACUUGCGCAGGGUCUGUAUGAGCGGAGCGUGCUCGGGGUGUGACUUCUUGCGGAAGGGGUCGGGGAAGUCCGUCCCGCGUAUGGCGACGCAGCCGGGCAGGCGGACGGGGUCGGGGAGGUCUUCGAAGUCGACGUCGGUGGUCUCGUCGAGCCGGGGCAGGUGCAGCGCGAGGGUGAGCAUCGUGAGGUUGGAAGGGUAAAAUAUGUAGCCCGGCACGCCGAGCUCCCGCACCAGCGACAGCGUCUCGGAUCCGUAAAGGCCGCAGACGAAGGCGGCGGCGGGGUUUCGGAAGGAGAGGAAGGCGUCGCGGAGGAGGGGGAGGCAUCGGGCGAGGAGGGCGCAGAGGUGGACUUCGAUCGGGGAGUCGGGGGGGAGGUCGGAGAGGGAGAUGGAGGGGAGGGAGACGGAGGUGACGGAGCCGGAGGGGAGGGAGGCGAGGAAGGCGGCCUGCGCCGGGGAGUCGAAGUUGGAGAAGGUGAGGAGGGUGGCGGAGAAGCCGUGGGCGGCGAGGCGAACGGCAAAGUCCGCCAGCGGGAUCACGUGGCCUAUUCCCGGCGCCGAGAGCAGGACCACGUGAGGUCGCCGGCUUUCAGCAUUCAUAUAAUUAAUGUGGUAAUAUUUGUUUGGACUGUCGUGCAGUACAAAAUAGAGAUAUAGAUAUGUAUCAACAGAAAAAGGGGAGUUUGAGUUGUGUUGUGUUUGUAAGAUUUUGCAGAAAGCUUCUCAUCAAUUACGGGAAAAAAGUGUGGGCGAUGUUCUCUGGUCAGUCGUCUUUGGCUCCAUGCGUUGUGGAUGUGUUUGGUGGUGCAUUUCUUUCCCAAUUUAAUAAUACAUAAAUAGAAUAGUAAAUUUUAUUUUUUUGAAUAUUUAUAGCAUUUUAGAAAGCAAUAUGUUACAUAAGUCAAAAAGUAUCAAACACAGCUGGUCAGAGUUGGUGCUGAACUGCAACUCUUGAGGAAAAAGACAAGUGCGAAAUUAUAUAAAAAAACCUUAAUAUUUAUUGAGGAUCUGUCUUUUCUUUUAAAAAAAAUGUAGAAGAGACAAAUGAAAUCCUCAGCAAUCAGAGCAAGUGGUCAAACAAGCCAUUUUGAUGGCACAGCAAAUCUAUUCAGUCGACCGAAUCAAUAUGAUGAACUUCUAAAAUUAAUAAAGCAAUUAAUUUUUAAAUUUAGAAGUCAUUGAUUAUCACUUUUUUAAUAAGUGUAUAUUGCAAUCUACAUUAAUUUAGUUGAUUGUAAUAUAAAAAUAGUAUUGUAAUAUUAUGAUCGUUGAUGCGCCAAAAAUUAUAAUAUUACAUCAUUUUUAUUUUAGCAGUAUAUUAAUAUUUAGUUAGAUAAAUUUAGGUACCGGACUUGGCUACUUGGUUUGUACUUAAUUCCAUACCAUUUGUUUGUUUGUUUGUUUUUUUUUUUGGAAUGUUACUUCAUCCCCUCUUUUGAUGUUGACUAUUGUCAAUUUGGCUUAAAUUAGCGUGCCAUAUCACUAAGAGAAUCUUAUUGAAGAAACAAUGGUCACAUAUGACGUAAUUAUAGUCAAAACAAAAAAGCUUUUAUAUUCUUAGGAAAUUACUUAUGUAAUAUUCGAAUUACCAUCCAAAAGGAAAAGAAAAAUUAACCACACAUUUUUCUGGUCCAAGUGGCUUGACAUUUUCAAAUAUAGUUUCCAAAUUUAUUUACUUUAUAAAAAAUAUUUACGCGUAAUAAGUUGACCUGAGAAACAAACUAAUCAUUGAGUAUACUAACAUUCUUGCGAAAUUAAUACAAAUGACACACGAAAUUAACAGAUAGCACGAUGCAUACUAAACAAACUAUUAAUAUAAAUGACACGCGAAAUUAACAGGUGAUACAAUGCAUACUAUGAAAAAAAUUAAUUCGACAAAAAAUUAUAAUUGAUAAAAACAAUUAUUCACAAAAAUAUAGAUUUGAUACUUUGUUUACUUUUACGCAGCACAAGAAAAUAAAUAGAUAAACCUAAGUAAUAGAUAAACCUAGUUAUCCAAAAGCCGACCAAGAGGUAGGGAAGUUCCAGUCCCCUAUACAAACUUAAAUUUGGGACUCUGUACGCUUGUAUGGGUUUAUUGUAUAACGGCGUGUUUGGUAAAAUGGAUCGACACUUCAGUAAAGCCACGAGUUCCGUCUGUAUGGCAGAGCUCGACUUUGAGUUCGCAUAGAGCGCGAACUUGUUGAUUUGUGAGACGAAUUCGCACGUGCAGGCGGAGUAGGCCCCAUGGAAGUCGAGCUCUGUCGUUUCGUCCAAACGUUGGCGAAUUUCUGUUACGAGAACUAUGCCACUUCGACCUCGAAUGUGAUCAAAACAAAUACACUCUAAGUUGUUUUUUUUUUAGAGAGAGAGAAAAAUAGCAUACUAUCUGUUCCGUUUAUUUCUUUUAAAAUAAAAAAAUAAAUUUAGCUGAAAAUGUGAAAUAAUUAGAUUUCGAACUUACAAUCUCAAGUAUCAACCACUAAAUUUUUCACCACUUGCAAUAUGGCCAGAGGUCAGUACACUCUUAAGUUGUGGAAAGGAUUGUUUGUGCCACUCAUAGACACACAAAAAAAAGGAUUAAGGGAUAUUUUCGGUCGGGCCGGACUUUCGAGAGCGACACCCGAACCCGGCUUGUUUAUGUUUCGAGCGGGGCUUUGGGCUGGGCUGAGGCUCCAACAGCCCAGCUCAAGCCCACCCGUUAAGCUCCAAACUCGGACUUUCUUAAUUUUCUUGUUAUUUUCAAAAAAGAAAAAAAAAACCAUCUACUUACCCUAUCAGAAAUCAAAUUUGAUUUUAAAAUAAUUGAACUAUACUUUGCAGAUAGGAGUUUGUAUGUAGCACUGGACAAUUAAUUUCUGACAAAGUUAGAGUACAUUUAGACUAUGCAAAUCCAGUGAUAUUUUUCCUCCUGUUUUGUCCGUUGAUAAGAUUCUUGUACCCUUCAAUUUUGGCUUUUACCUAUCUUAUCUUAUCAAUACCAAUAUAUUAAAGUGACGGACCGUCCCUAUCGUAAGUGGCAAAAGAUUUGGUGGUUGGUAUUCAAGAUUUCAAGUUCGAAUCUGUCUUGAUUUAUAUUUUCAGAUAAAUUUAUUUUAAAUAAAGUAAACAAAAUGAAUAACAUUCUACCUAUCUCUCUCUCUCUCUCAAAAAAAAAAAAAAAAAGGCAUUACAGGGCUACAUACAUGAAAGGAUAAUCCAAACCAUGUGAACAGCAGAGGCCCUCCUCGCUCCCCCCUCUCUCAGGUGGGUCACACUUUUUUUUUUUUCCCCCCCCCUCUCUCUCUCUCCUCUCAUCUCUCUCUCUCUCUCUCUCUCUCUCGUCUCUCUCUCUUCUCUCUCUCUCUCUCUCUCUAGAGAUGUCAACGGUCGGAUUCGGGCGAAUUUUUAAAACCCGAACCCGAACCCGACUCCAAAAACCCGAGACCCGAACCGACGGAUUUUAAAAUUCAUAUCCAAACCCGAACCCGACCAAAAUCGAAACCUGAACCCGAACCCGAAAAUUUGAACCUGAAAUAAUUAUUUCUUUUUUCAAUAUUUCAAAAUAUAUUAUAUUAAAUUUAAAUUUUUAAAAUACAAAUUCAAAUAUAACAUCAAUUUUUUAUAUAUAUAUUAUAUAUAAUGCAAAAUAAAUUCGGGUUCGGGUCGGGUUCGGGUCGGGUUCGGGUUCGGGUCGGGUACAAUCAAAAUCCAUAUCCGAAUUCAUAUCCGUUAGAUUUCUAUUUUUGAUUUCUAUAUUCGAAUCCAUAUCCAUAUCCAUCAGAUAUAUCCGGGUUCGGGUUCGGAUAAAAUUUCGGGUAUCCAUACCCAUUGACAUCCCUACUUCCUUCACCCUUUCUUUUUCUUUUUUUUUUCUCUCAACAUUUUUUGUUUACUUUUGCCUAUAUUACGUGUAAAAUUUUAUCGCAUAAACCAAUUCUAUUUUUUAAUUGUCAAUAUAACAAAAUUAAAAUUUUAUACGGUAUAAAAAAAUUGCACACCGAGUGUAUAAGACAUGCUCAUAUACAAUUUAUAAUUUGAAUUUUUUAUUUUUGCCUAUAUCAAGUGUAAAAUUUUAGCGCAUGGAGCAAUUCGAUCUAUUUUUUAAUAGCCUUCUCAAGGGUGAGGCCCACUUUUUUUUUCUCUCUGUCACACCCUAUACUUUUUUUCUUUUUUUUUUUUUCCUCUCAACACCUUUUCUUUUUUUUUUAUACCAAAUUUAAAAUUUUAUUGUAUGGAUCAAUCCUAUUUUUUAAUAGUCGAUAGUUUACGGCAGCCACCUCAAAUAAAGAGGUGGGCUCACUCCACUACUCUCUCUCUCUCUCUCUCUCUCUCUCUCUCUUACACACACACACACACACAUACACACACUAUACAAUUUUUUUUUUUUUCUCCCAACACUCUUUCCUUUUUCUUUUUUUUUUUGCCUACGCCAAGUGUUAAAAAAAUUAUACACCGAGUGUAUAAGACAUGCAUAUGUAUUAUAUAAGAUAAAGUUUAGCUUUCUAUCUAUCUAGCUAUAUCCAUACACCCUACAUACUAUACACCCUACACCCCUACAACCGUAUAAUCCUGUUUUUUAAUAGUAGGUAUAAUAAAAUUAAAAUUUCAUACUGUAUAAAACAAGUUGUACAUCGAGUGUAUAAAACAUGAUCGUAUACACACAUGCUUUUGACAGUAUCAAAGAGAACCUAUAUAUUUUGGGUUAAAAUUUUUUUGUACGUAUAAAAAUGCAUAUAUUUGAUUUAAAAAUAUACAAUAAAUGAAAUAACUAGGAAACAGAAUCUGGUCGAAUACUUUGUCAUAAUAAAAGUAGAUUAUACAUGCAUGAAAGUUGUGUGUAUUCGGUAGUUUGUACAGGAUAACAAAAAAGGACCCUCAUAUUUCUGGUAAAAAUACUCUAUUUUUUAAUAGUCGAUAUAAAAAAUUAAAAUUUUAUACGGUGUAAAAAAAUUAUACACAAAGUGUAUAAGACAUGCUCAUAUACAAUCUAUAAUUUAAAUUUUUUUUAUAUUUUUGCCUAAAUCAAGUGUAAAAUUUUAAUAUAUAUAUCAAUAAUUUUUUUUAAUAAUCUCUUCAAGCAAAGAGGUGGGGCCCACUUUUUUUUCUCCCAAUUACCCCACAUCCCUUAUUUUAUUUUAUUUUCUCUCAACACCUUUUUUUUUAUUUUUUCCUACACCUAGUGUAAAAAAUAGGGUUGAUCCAUGUGCUAAAAUUUUACAUUUAGUGUAGGCAAAAAUAAAAAAGAAUUCAAAUUAUAGAUUGUAUAUGAACAUAUCUUAUACACUCGGUGUACAACUUUUUUUACAUCGUAUAAAAUUUUAAUUUUGUUAUAUCGACUAUUAAAAAAUAGAGUUGGUCCAUGUGAUAAAAUUUUACACUUGAUGUAGGAAAAAAAUAAAAAUAAAAGGUGUUGAGCAAAAAAAAAUUUAAAAAAAGAGGUGUAGGGAGAGAGAGAGAGAGAGAGUGAGAGAGAGAGAAAAAAAAGGCAUAUUUUUCAAUAAUUAAUAUGACAAAAUUAAAAUUUCAUCUGAUAAAUACAAUCUAUAAUAUAAAAAAAUCUAGAUACGAAAAUUAAUAGAUUUGUAUCUCUAUAAUAAAACUUCAUAAAUAUUGUGUAAAAAAAAUUAUAGAUUCGGUUCGGUGUAUAAGACAUUCUUACACAUUCUUCAAUUUGACUUUGACUUGACAUAAAUAAAGUUUAGUUUUGAGCUCUCCUUGGAGCAUUGGUGGGGCCCACCCACUUUCUCCACUCCCCUCUCAACCAUUACCUUUUUCUUUCUUUCUUUUUUUGUUUGCAUCAUGUCUAAAAAUUCUUGCAUGAACAAAAAAAAUAAAUUUUUAAUAAUUUAUAUAAUAAACUAAAAUCUAACUUAAUAACUGCAAUCUAUAAUCUAUAAAAAGUGUAAAUACAAAAAUUACUGAAUUUUACUUUUAUAAUAAAAUUUUAUAAAUACAAUGUAAAAAAUUGGUUAUAUAUCUGGUUGAUUUAUUUUUUUAUAAAUAGACAGUUAUUGUGAAUCUUUUGUUUUUUGGUAGUACGCUAUUUUGUGUUCUCUUACUGUUUUAAUUAAGUAAUACUUUAUAGGUCCUAAUCAAAUCAUUAUUCUCAUCAAAUUUUUUUAAUUUAUUAAAAUUUAAUAAAAUUAUUAAUUUUUAGAUCUUUACAUGUCAAAUAUAUUCCUGUAAAAAAUAUACAGGUAGCAUUUUUCUUUUUAGAGAAAAACAGUGGUUCAUCUGUCCCAAUCCAUGACAAUCAUGAUGUUACCAAUACAGUGGAAAAAAUCAAACUACUUUAUGGUAGUAGGCAAUAUUUUACUUUGUUUUUUUUAAAAAAUAAAUUUAGAUGAAAAUGUGGUUCAAAAUUAGGAUUUCGGGUAUUAAUCAUCAAACUCUUUACAACUUGCAGUAUGAACGGUAGGUAAUAUUAGAAUAAAAAAUGGGCUAGUAUUUGAUUUAGUAAUUUAAAUUUAACAUCUUUUAGAUUCUUAUACUUAAAAGUAAAAUUAAAAUACUAUUAAUAGCAAAAGAAAAGUAUUUGCUACCUAUAUUAUAGUUUUUGAAUGCAUAGAGUUUAUUAUUUGGCACAAUAUAUGCUAUUAUAAAUUGAAGGACUACAAAGUUAAUAUUAAAUACUUUUAUAUACUAUCAAUAGUAUUAUAGAUAAACUCUUUUAUGCAUAGAAUUAAAAAAAGAAAAAAUCAAUUAUACCAUUCCAUUUGGCCCAAAUAUUUAUUUUUAUUUUGAUUUUAGACUUAAGAUUUUCUCAAUUAAAUUCUUAAGCUAUAUUAUUUGUUUCGAUUAAGUACCACUCAUCAAAAAGUUCAAUAAUUUUGAUAAAAUUUAUAGCAAAAUUGAUUUAGAAAUAAUGUGGCAAUUCUCGUCAGAUUUUAAUACAAGACUUUAUUGAAGGACCCAGGAGGCAUUGGUAACUUAAUUACAAAAUAUUUUACGAAAUCGAGAGUUAAAAUAAUAAGCUUACGAAUAGAGAGCGAUAUAAAGACACAGCAUUAUUAAUACUGAUUCAUUAAUAAUAUUUUAUAAAACGUGUUUCAAGCUUUUGCUACGCGCUCUGACUAGCUCCCUCCUUCCACUUAUUGGCAAGUCCCUGCAGCGACUUGUACGAGGACCCGCCCGGCGGCGCGAGCGCCCGCGACGCCGCCUCCUGCAGCUCCUUGGCGCGACGGUGCAGCGCCUUGCCCUUCUCCCCCUGCAUCAAUUCCUUCGCCGCCGCCGCGAUCUCCUCCCUGCCGACGACGCCGUAUGGCUCCCUCGCCUGCGGCUGUAUGGCGAUUCCGACCGCCUCGGCGAGCAGGAUGGCAUUCAAGCGCUGCUCGGCGUAGAGCGGGUGCGCGAUCAUCGGCACGCCGUGCACGGUGCUCUCCAGCGCCGAGUUCCAGCCGCAGUGCGAGAAGAAGCCGCCGGUCGCAGCAUGGGCCAGCACCCUGACCUGCGGCGCCCACGACGGCACCACGCGGCCCACGUCCUUUGUCCGUUCCAAGAAGCCCUCGGGAAGGUAAUUCGACGGAUCGUCCUUGUUUCCUAACAUCAUUUAUAAACAGUAAAAUGCGACAAAUCAAGUAUAGCAACUGAGUUCUCCAACCAACUUUGGCCUAUGAAAGAAAUAACUUACGCACUAAAUCGAUGUGCGAAGAAUUGUAAAAACUCUAUACUAAUAAAUCAAAAUUAUAUAUAUUAUAAUAUCGGCACAUCAUCAAAUUUUAUAGCAAAUAGCUUAGUACCUGAUGUGAAGAAGGCGGCGUUCUUUUCUUUGUCACUCGGACACCUGACAACCCAAAGGAAGCGCUGCCCGCUGGCCUCCAGCCCGAGUGCCAUCUCCUGCAUCUGCUCCGUCGAGAGGGAGCCGCCACUUCCGAAAGACACGAAUAAAACCGAGUCGGCCGGCUGCCGGUCCAGCCACUCCAGGCAGCCCGACUCGUCCGCCUCGUCCGAACCGGACCGGACCAUCGGACCCACCAGGUGGACCGGCGGCCUCCCUGCUUCCGCUUGCUCCUCCUCUCUGAUGGCUUUCAGCACCUCCUGCUCCAUCUCCUCGAAGCUGUUCACCAGGAUCCCCGCCGCGUCGCUGUAACUGCAAAACAAAUCGUUACUUUGACAACUCAAUUGUAUUCGAACUAAGAAUCUACUAUUUUAUUUAAAAUUAUCAAUUAUUUUAGAAACGUACGAUGUUUCUUACCUGCUCAUGAUCCGGAUGACCGGAGCGUAGGCGGGAUGUGACUUCUUGCGCAAGGGGUCGGGGAAGUCCGUCCCGCGUAUGGCGACGCAGCCGGGCAGGCGGACGGGGUCGGGGAGGUCUUCGAAGUCGACGUCGGUGGUCUCGUCGAGCCGGGGCAGGCGCAGCGCGAGGGUGAGCAUCGUAAGGUUGGAAGGGUAAAAUAUGUAGCCCGGCACUCCGAGCUCCCGCACCAGCGACAGCGUCACGGCCCCAAAAAGGUCACAGACGAAGGCGGCGGCGGGGUUUCGGAAGGAGAGGAAGGCGUCGCGGAGGAGGGGGAGGC